UGGGGAAUAUUGCACAAUGGGGGAAACCCUGAUGCAGCGACGCCGCGUGAGUGAAGAAGUAUUUCGGUAUGUAAAGCUCUAUCAGCAGGGAAGAAAAUGACGGUACCUGACUAAGAAGCCCCGGCUAACUACGUGCCAGCAGCCGCGGUAAUACGUAGGGGGCAAGCGUUAUCCGGAUUUACUGGGUGUAAAGGGAGCGUAGACGGCUGAGCAAGUCAGAAGUGAAAGCCCGGGGCUCAACUCCGGGACUGCUUUGGAAACUGUGGAUCUAGAGUGCCGGAGAGGUAAGCGGAAUUCCUAGUGUAGCGGUGAAAUGCGUAGAUAUUAGGAGGAACACCAGUGGCGAAGGCGGCUUACUGGACGGUAACUGACGUUGAGGCUCGAAAGCGUGGGGAGCAAACAGGAUUAGAUACCC
rnacentral:rRNA from 1 species